rnacentral:tRNA from 1 species
GAAGGUAUAGCUCAAGUGGUAGAGUACAUGCUUAGCAUGCAUGAGGUCCUGGGUUCAAUCCUUAUGAACCUCCU